UUUAAUUAGUUAUCUUUUGCUCACUUAAUUAAUUCUAAAAUUAAUUCUUGAUCAAACUAAUUAAAUAAUAUUAUUAAUAUAGUAGAAUUUAUUAUAUAUUAAUAAACCACAAGUGUUAUUUCUCUCAUUUAGUCUAUCCAAUUGCAUGGUGCCAUGCAACCCAAAUGGACCAUGCCGGGUCGGGUCAAGUACAUACCAAAAGUAGUUAUGGACUUAGACACCUUAUCCAACAGUCUCCUACUUGGAUAAGNCCAACAGUCUUACUUGGAUAAGUCUAAUAACUAUAACUGCAAAU
rnacentral:lncRNA from 1 species